UGGGGGAUAUUGCACAAUGGGCGAAAGCCUGAUGCAGCGAUGCCGCGUGGAGGAAGAAGGUCUUCGGAUUGUAAACUCCUGUCUUUAGGGACGAUAAUGACGGUACCUAAGGAGGAAGCUCCGGCUAACUACGUGCCAGCAGCCGCGGUAAUACGUAGGGAGCGAGCGUUGUCCGGAAUUACUGGGUGUAAAGGGAGCGUAGGCGGGGCGGCAAGUCAGGUGUGAAAUUUAUGGGCUUAACCCAUAACCUGCAUUUGAAACUGUCGCUCUUGAGUGAAGAAGAGGUUGGCGGAAUUCCUAGUGUAGCGGUGAAAUGCGUAGAUAUUAGGAGGAACACCAGUGGCGAAGGCGGCCAACUGGGCUUUUACUGACGCUGAGGCUCGAAAGCGUGGGGAGCAAACAGG
rnacentral:rRNA from 3 species